rnacentral:rRNA from 1 species
GUCUACGAUGAUGCCACCCUGGACGCUCCCAAUCUUGUCUGAUCUUGGAAGCUAAGCAGGGUCAGGCCUGGUUAGUCCCUGGAUGGGAAAGAUAGUAAAUAUAUUGAACUGAGGUUAUCAAUUGUGGUUU